rnacentral:rRNA from 1 species
UAGGCUAGUCGUAGUCUAGUAGCCGUAGAGAGCUUGCUCCCUGAGAUUAGCGGCGGACGGGUGAGUAACACGUGGGCAACCUGCCUAUAAGACUGGGAUAACUUCGGGAAACCGGAGCUAAUACCGGAUACGUUCUUUUCUCGCAUGAGAGAAGAUGGAAAGACGGUUUACGCUGUCACUUAUAGAUGGGCCCGCGGCGCAUUAGCUAGUUGGUGAGGUAAUGGCUCACCAAGGCGACGAUGCGUAGCCGACCUGAGAGGGUGAUCGGCCACACUGGGACUGAGACACGGCCCAGACUCCUACGGGAGGCAGCAGUAGGGAAUCUUCCGCAAUGGACGAAAGUCUGACGGAGCAACGCCGCGUGAACGAAGAAGGCCUUCGGGUCGUAAAGUUCUGUUGUUAGGGAAGAACAAGUACCAGAGUAACUGCUGGUACCUUGACGGUACCUAACCAGAAAGCCACGGCUAACUACGUGCCAGCGGCCGCGGAAAUACGUAGGGGGCAACC